GUUCUCCUACGGGGCGCAGCAGUGGGGAAUAUUGCACAAUGGGCGAAAGCCUGAUGCAGCAACGCCGCGUGAAGGAAGACGGUUUUCGGAUUGUAAACUUCUAUCAAUAGGGAAGAAAGAAAUGACGGUACCUAAAUAAGAAGCCCCGGCUAACUACGUGCCAGCAGCCGCGGUAAUACGUAGGGGGCGAGCGUUAUCCGGAUUUACUGGGUGUAAAGGGAGUGUAGACGGUUCUGCAAGUCUGAAGUGAAAGCCCGUGGCUUAACCGCGGAACGGCUUUGGAAACUGUGGAACUGGAGUGCUGG
rnacentral:rRNA from 1 species